CCUCCCACCAACCGGGCUGCAGAACCUACAGUCCCUUGACCUUCAGAGGAGUGAGAGGACGUGUUAACAAACACAUCAUCAUCUAGGAAAAUAUAGGCUGUGCUGUGAGAUGAUACAGUGAUAGGGAUGAUGAGAGUCUCAUCUGAAGAGCUCAGAGGUGCAUCGCAAGCAGAUGCGUCACAUCAAGAGUACAGAACAAGAGUCUGGAAAGGGCCAAGGGUACUGCAGAGACAGAGAGGAGGAGGCCAGCGUGGGGAGCCCCGAGAGCCUCAGGCAGAUCUUCUAUACCUGUGUCCUUUCUCUUGUUCCGUGACCACCACCUACCCCAAUCCAGGCCUCCAUGACUUCUGGCCUGGGCUUUGAGAAUGGACUCCAAUGCCCUGCCCUCUGCCACCUUUCCCAGCUCAGCCACCUUGCAAAGAGCAGCCACACAAUACUUCCCAAAGCCAGGGCCUCUCCCAGCUCAGAAGUCAUCCUUCUGCCCAAAGAGCAGAGUCCAAACUCCUUCUCCAGGUGGAUGACCAAACAGAUCAAGGACACAGAAUGUAAAUAUGACUCACUGGGAAGCCUCGCUGUUCCUUCAGGCUAUUUCCAACCAUCUACUCAGCAGGCUCAGAGGGCCCAAAUGAAGACUAGCUUUCAGACUGAGGUGGAUGCGGAAGUACCAGUGGAGAGAGGAGUGGCGAUCAAUGGGACAUUCUGAGGUUUAAAAAGGAACACGAAUGCAAGCCAGAGAAAAAGUGCCUUGAAAAAGAAUGUAGUUUUAUGUUAAAGGGAUCCUUAACUCAAGGAGUUGAGAGAAGGGCGCAUAAUCAAAUGUAUUUUUAAUCUCCUUACUAAAGAACAUGAUGACUUUAGGCCGCUUUGUUUAAAUAACUCUUCUAGAAAAGAGGAGGAGGGAGGAAUCUGAAUAUUUUGGAGACAGCCACUUGUUUUGUGAAGCAAAAGCUAGGAGAGAUGCAGGCAGUCAAUGUUUGGGCCUAAACAGUAAAAAGAGGAGUUAGUAUCUAUAAUCUUCUCUAAAAUAUUUUUCAUUUUUCAACUGGGGAAAAAAUUAGAAUUUUCUCGCUGAUCUUGGCAAGAGAUUCCUGAGUGCUGAGCUGCAUUCAAAUCCUCUAUUUCUCUCUCCAAACCCAGAGAGAAUUAGCAAGACAACAUACAGCCAUUUUCUGAGUUUAAGAAAAAUGCCAUGAUCCCUAAGGGAAUGGAAAUGACUAGUUUUGGGACACUGACAGUUAUCUGAAGCACUUCAGGGCUCUUAACAUUCAUUUUGUGGGCUCCAGAGUGGGAGAAAGGUCAGACAGCAGAGGGGGUCCUAGGUCCUCCUCCCGCCCUGGAGAAGUACUGGGAGAGGGUGACUGAAGGAAGUCCUGGGGGAGGAAGGGAGGCACCAAGAGGUGGAAAUUCUGGGAUUCAAGAAUAGGUUCUGGUACUAAUUAGCUGUGUCUGAUUUUAGGCAAAUCACAAACUCCCCAGGCUGCAAAAUCCCCACUUGUAAAAUGAGGUGACCCAACUCAGUUUUCUUCCUUCUAGCACUAAAAUCUUACUAAAAA